ensembl:lncRNA
CGGGCUCCGCGCGCGCGUCCACAGGGUCCCCGAUCCGGCACCUCUGACGCCGAGCUCUAGCCCAGCGGCCCGGGGCUGGGGCCGGGAAGGAGGGAGGUGCCUGAGCCCUCCCGGGUCCCCGAAGGCUUCUCGGAGGAGGCAGUAUUAAACCCCCAAGGAGGAGAGGCGCUGCGGGCGGCCGUGCGCAGGUGGAGAUGGCGGUUCGCCUCGAGUCUCGGACCUUGGGAUACACCCAAUGUGGCCCCAAGAAAGGCAGAGACAAGCACCGCGGGAGCCUGAGGCCACGUCUCCCUGCAGGGCCAGGGGGCAAGCCCCAUCCCAGGAGUGGAAGAGAGGAGGGGGCCGGGAGGCCCUGGUGGAUGCGACGCAGAAGCAGGCCACGACCGACCGUGCUGCUGCCCUUUGCUGUGGUCCCGCUUUCCUCCGGGAUGUCCCGAGUGGCUUCACUGGAAGUCAUCCUCCUGGAGGACCUGGAGGAGGGAAGCACUGGGCCUCAGGACCUCCAAGCCAAUCAUCUGAGCCUGGGGCUCUCAGGGCUGAGAAAAGACCGGGGUUUUGGGUGUGUGUGCAUGUGUGCCUGUGUGUGUGUGUGUGCCUCUGUGUGUGUGUGCCUCCGUGUGUGUGUAGGCGUGUGUGCCUCCGUGUGUAUCUGUGUGUGUGUGUCUGCAGACCUCAGAGAGGGAGGCUUCACCCUGCGGCCGGAGGAGGUGGUGAACUCAGGGUGCGUCCCCGCCGAGCCUCUCGUGUCCUGCCGCCGCCGCGCGAGGGGCCUGCCUCGGCUACUCCCAGGCGCACAGGGGCCUGAGCCGGCGGGCGCCGAGAACCUGGGCCCAGGGACGGCCUGGACCCCACCGACACUGGCCCAGGAGCGCAGCCUCAGUCUCACUGCCGGGUCGGUUCUGCCCAAGGUCACCGCGCGCCGCUCGGAUUCCCCGCCUCCCGCGCCCCCCGCCUCGUCUCCGAGUCGAGUCUCGGCCUCUCGCCGCCCCCUUUCCCGGAGCCGCUCUCGGGGCUCCAGCUCCCGGAACCGCAGCGUCAGCACAUCCGGGCCUCGCUCGCUUUGGUUCUGAGUUUUCUUAAAUCGUGAAAAUCCAUUUCCCCAAAUGGGCGGGAGCUGAGCUUCGCUUCGUCCAGGGGCGGUCUGCCCGGCCGCCCCCUCCCCACCCCCAGCGCGACCCCCGAGGCCCGGCAUUGAUCCCGCAGCUUGUGCACAUCGCAUUAGUCCUAAUGGUUUUGCUGAUGAUUCAACUUUUUCGUUAAAAGCCGCCCCUCCGUCCUCACUGCUCCCCUGCCUCCGCCUCUGCCGGCCGCGGGCCCCUCGGCGGCGCGCCCGCCCAGAGCUUUCUUGGCCGGUAGAGACG